GAUGAAGGAACGUAGCGAAAUGCGAUAAGUAAUGCGAAUUGCAGAAUUCAGUGAAUCAUCGAAUCUUUGAACGCACAUUGCGCCCGCUAGUAUUCUGGCGGGCAUGCCUGUCUGAGCGUCAUUUCAACCCUCGCCCCCGGCUUUUGCUGGGAGCGGUGUUGGGGAUCGGCCGCCCGUCACUGGGAGGCCGGCCCCGAAAUAGAGUGGCGACCACGCCGUGUGCUCCUCUGCGUAGUAGUAAAUCACCUCGCAGGCGGACAGCGGUGCGGCCUGCCGUAAAACCCCCAACUCUUUCUGGUUGACCUCAGAUCAGGUAGGAAUACCCGCUGAACUUAAGCAUAUCAAUAAGCGGAGGA
rnacentral:misc_RNA from 1 species